ensembl:lncRNA
CUCUUCUCCAAGCUAAACCAGCCCAGUUCCCUCAGCUUUCAAUAAUAACACUCACUAGUAUUUCUGAGUGACUCUGCUGAUUUUUUUUUGUAAAAGAUUUUUUGCUGGAAAGCAAUACAAAAUUGCCAAGUUUCAGUUACAUACUUAUUAGUACCUUACACACUAGUAUACACUUAUCACACUUUCAUAUUUUAUAUUUGUAAAACUACUUUCACCAACAGUAUGCCUAUGGUUUCUCCAGAAUUUUGUUAUUUGGUUUUCUAUUUUGUUAAUGUAUUAUUUCCUAAAAGCCUUCUUCCAAGAAAGAUACACUGUCACUAAGGACUCUUCUGGUUCAUCAGGAUUGUAAGUUUUGUACUGAUGCAUUUGGAAGCCUUUGUUUUGAUGGCUGCAAAGCCAUCAUAGAAAGCUCAGUAUUUCAACAUGGUCUGUUUGUAGCUUUGCAGAGAAUAGAACCAGAAGUACCACUGCAAUCACAAGGUCUGUCUUCUGGUAUAGAGCAGGUUGUUAGAGCUGUCUGCAUCAAUUCUUGACUGAGCUACAGUCUAUUAGAAAAGCAUGUUGCUUUUUGACAUUUGAAAGUAGCUCACUCCGAUGGGCAGAAAGUAUGUGUUCCCAUUUCUAGCAUGAGUUUGCCCAGGUUUUCCCACUAUAUCACCAUAUUAUCACUAAUUUCAUAUAUUCACUGGAUUUAUUAGUCCAUAACCGAACCUGUAUAAUUCCCCAUGGUAACAUCUUAGAGGCUAGGUCCAAAUCAAUCUUUACUAUUCUCAACUGAUAAACUAAACAGAUCAAACUCUUUGAAUCUUUUACUCUGAGGCAUGAUUAACAGUCCCUAAGUCAUGCUUGUGACUCUUCUCUGAACUUCUUCAACAAUGUUCCUGAACCAUGAACCCCAGGACUGGACAAAAUAUUCCAAUAAUGAUUUCAUCAGUGCUAAAUACAACAACAGUGUAAUAACUCUCGACACCUAUCUUCAUUCAUUAUUCCUCUGAUGCUUAUUUAUUAAGCUCAUAUUAGACAUUUUGUGCACUGUGUCACACUGGGAAAUUAUACACAGAUGACUAUGAACUCUGAUCCCCAAUUCUUUUGAAAAGCAUUGCUUCCCUGAAGAGAGUUCAGUCCCUAAUUACGGGCUGAAAUGCUACUUCUUAGAUUUUUAGUUAUGUUAAAUGUAUUCUGCCAUACUAACCUACGUACUGUUUGCAAGAGAUUUGAUUACUUGGUGGUGGUGGUGACCAGCCUUUGGAUUGACCAUUUCUCCGGUGAUGGUCAUGUUUUCACACGUAGACUCUGAUGGCCCAGCUCUGCUGAUCCACCUGGAACAAUGGUCAGUGCUUUAAGUUUUGAUCACUGGAAGAAGACUUCCAAAAUAUGGUCCUGUGAGAACUAUAUAAUUCUCAGCUGAUAUGUGGUACGAUUACUUCUGAAUCCAACAGAGAUGAAUAAGAGGUGGUCUUCCUUCUUCCACUAGAUACAAUCAUGCAAGCUGCAAUUGCUCAAAGAAUAGAAGAAGCUUUUAAAAUAAAGCUGCUUUCUAUCUUUUUUUUUUUUUUGGUUGCUAUUGAAUGCUUCAGUUUAAAACUUUGUUGUGUGAAGAUGAUUUGUUGUUCCUUUGUUUUACAUUAGCUUGUCACUGAUGUUUUUCUUGCAUUAUUGAGAGCAUACGGAAAGAUUUUUAAAUUAUCUCUGUAAUGCUAAAAAUUUCAAUUAAAUCUCUCCAAGCUAUUUUUUUUUUUCAAAGUAGACUACAUAAUACCAGUACCAUAAUAUCAGUAUCAGGCUUCCCAAAUCCCACUGUUACUGGUUAGAACAUCCUUUCUCACCUCUUAUCCAAAUACGUGUGUAAUAUGAUGAGUGUUAAUUGAAAACUAACUCUAAAAUUUACAGGUUUGUUACAAAAGAAAACCAAACAAAGAAGCUAUAAACCUCGGUUGAAAGAGAAACACCUUUAGCCAAAGAUGCUAUUUAAACAAGUCCUACGCAGAAUUAAAGAUUUUACAGAAUGAGCAGGAGUACUUGUUUUUAAAGCAAGAAGACUUUAGGUGGUCUCAAGAUUUCUCUGACUCACCGCCCCGCCAGCUCUUCUCAAAUAACAAAUUGCUAAUCAAAAGCAUUAAGUAAUGAGAAGAGAGAGAAAGCUUCAAUGGGUAGAAGAGAACAGGUUAAUUACACUUCUUAUUAGAAACACUACACAUACGGUAUAGGCUUCUUCACUACUUCUAUUGUGUAAUCCUUUUAUAUAUGUAUAUAAUACAUAGAGUUUACAUUUAUUACUGUACGUAUUUGGACAAACAGUGCUGGUUUUGCACAAAGCUUAACAGAAGGAUGUAUUUGUCCCGUUGCUAAAAUGUGCUCAGAGGAAUUGUUGGAAGGUCUGUCAGAACGAGUUACAGCUUCUUCUUUCUCAGCCUGCCCUGUCCUGUCUUGCUUUGCUCCUUAGCUGAAGUUAGAACAUAAAAUAAGUUUGUGAACUCUAUAUGGUUCUAAUUUAUGAAGCUGGCUUUGGUCCCUAAGGGACCAUAUGCCGGCCAGAAAUCAUCAUAAUAAAGACACAGUUCAUCUUCCC